rnacentral:misc_RNA from 1 species
UCCGGUUCACCACCGGCAGUCUCCUUAGAGUCCCCGCCAUUACGCGCUGGCAACUAAGGAUAAGGGUUGCGCUCGUUACGGGACUUAACCCAACAUCUCACAACACGAGCUGACGACAGCCAUGCAGCACCUGUCUUCUGGUUCCUUUCGGCACUCCCAUAUCUCUACGGGAUUCCAGAGAUGUCAAGAGCAGGUAAGGUUCUUCGCGUUGCAUCGAAUUAAACCACAUGCUCCACCGCUUGUGCGGGCCCCCGUCAAUUUCUUUGAGUUUUAACCUUGCGGCCGUACUCCCCAGGCGGAGAACUUAUCGCGUUAGCUUCGAUACUAAGCAGUCUAAGCUGCCCAACAUCUAGUUCUCAUCGUUUACAGCGUGGACUAC